CCUACGGGGGGCUGCAGUGGGGGAUAUUGCACAAUGGGGGGAACCCUGAUGCAGCGACGCCGCGUGGGUGAAGAAGCGCCUCGGCGCGUAAAGCCCUGUCAGCAGGGAAGAAAAUGACGGUACCUGAAGAAGAAGCCCCGGCUAACUACGUGCCAGCAGCCGCGGUAAUACGUAGGGGGCAAGCGUUAUCCGGAUUUACUGGGUGGAAAGGGGGCGCAGACGGCGAUGCAAGCCAGGAGUGAAAGCCCGGGGCCCAACCCCGGGACUGCGCUUGGAACUGCGUGGCUGGAGUGCAGGAUGGGCAGGCGGAAUUCCUGGUGUAGCGGUGAAAUGCGUAGAUAGCAGGAGGAACACCGGUGGCGAAGGCGGCCUGCUGGACUGCAACUGACGUUGAGGCCCGAAAGCGUGGGGAGCAAACAGGAUUAGAUACCCGGGUAGUC
rnacentral:rRNA from 1 species